UACGUAGGGUGCGAGCGUUGUCCGGAAUUAUUGGGCGUAAAGAGCUUGUAGGCGGUUUGUCGCGUCUGCUGUGAAAUCUCAAGGCUCAACCUUGAGCUUGCAGUGGGUACGGGCAGACUAGAGUGUGGUAGGGGAGACUGGAAUUCCUGGUGUAGCGGUGAAAUGCGCAGAUACCAGGAGGAACACCGAUGGCGAAGGCAGGUCUCUGGGCCACUACUGACGCUGAGAAGCGAAAGCAUGGGGAGCGAACAGG
rnacentral:rRNA from 1 species